AAGUCGUAACAAGGUUUCCGUAGGUGAACCUGCGGAAGGAUCAUCAGUGAACUUUGCACACGCGCCGAGCCUUCGUGGGCGGCGGGCGGGCGGGCUGCCUGCGGGCUGCCUGCCUGUCUGUCUGUCUGCCCACACUGGGUUGCGAUAAAAGUGUUUUGAACUUGGGAAAAUCCGCGCCGGGUCGUCGGUGCUGGUUGACCACCAAAAAAAAACGGUGUUAAAAAACAGUGUUAACAACCAAAAUUAUUGCGGGAAAAAACCAUGACAACUUUUAACAAUGGAUCUCUUGGCUCUU
rnacentral:misc_RNA from 1 species